rnacentral:rRNA from 1 species
AGGACGAACGCUGGCGGCGUGCUUAACACAUGCAAGUCGAGCGGUGAUCCUCCUUCGGGAGGUGAUCAGCGGCGAACGGGUGAGUAACACGUGGGCAACCUGCCCCUCACACUGGGAUAACCUCGGGAAACCGGGGCUAAUACCGGAUACGACCUCGAGCGGCAUCUCUUGAGGUGGAAGGCUCCGACGGUGAGGGAUGGGCCCGCGGCCUAUCAGCUUGUUGGUGGGGUAAUGGCCUACCAAGGCGACGACGGGUA